CUANAAUGCAGUCGAGCGGACAGAUGGGAGCUUGCUCCCUGAUGUUAGCGGCGGACGGGUGAGUAACACGUGGGUAACCUGCCUGUAAGACUGGGGAUAACUCCGUGGAAACCGGGGCUAAUACCGGAUGCUUGAUUGAACCCCAAGGUUCAAUUAUAAAAGGUGGCUUUGGACUACCACUUACAUUAAGGACCCACGAGCGCAUAACCACUUGGUGGGUAACGGCUCACCAAGGCAACGAUGCGUAGCCGACCUGAGAGGGUGAUCGGCCACACUGGGACUGAAACACGGCCCAAACUCCUACGGGAGGCAGCAGUAGGGAAUCUUCCGCAAUGGACGAAAGUCUGACGGAGCAACGCCGCGUGAGUGAUGAAGGUUUUCGGAUCGUAAAACUCUGUUGUUAGGGAAGAACAAGUACCGUUCGAAUAGGGCGGUACCUUGACGGUACCUAACCAGAAAGCCACGGCUAACUACGUGCCAGCAGCCGCGGUAAUACGUAGGUGGCAAGCGUUGUCCGGAAUUAUUGGGCGUAAAGCGCGCGCAGGCGGUUUCUUAAGUCUGAUGUGAAAGCCCCCGGCUCAACCGGGGAGGGUCAUUGGAAACUGGGGAACUUGAGUGCAAAAAAGGAAAGUGGAAUUCCACGUGUAGCGGUGAAAUGCGUAAAGAUGUGGAGGAACACCAGUGGCGAAGGCGACUCUCUGGUCUGUAACUGACCCUAAGGCGCGAAAGCGUGGGGAGCGAACAGGAUUAGAUACCCUGGUAGUCCACCCCGUAAACGAUGAGUGCUAAGUGUUAGAGGGUUUCCGCCCUUUAGUGCUGCNNCAAACNCNUUANNCNNUC
rnacentral:rRNA from 1 species